CACCACAGCCCGUCUCUGGCUUCUCUCAUCUGAAAGAUGGGGUCAUCCAACCCCCGGACAAGAGUUGUGAGGGUGAACUGAGACUGCACACAGGAUCCCAUAGAAAAUGCAUUGGAGGCCUUCUGAAGGAGCUGGCAUCUUACAAGAAUCCUUGCAAGGAUCUCAGCGUAUAUCAGGGCACCACGGGCAAGAUGACGUUCGACUGCAGGAUGACGUUCGACUGAUAUGACGUGCCCUCCUAGGUCCCCAGAAAGUUCCCCACAGGACAAAGACGGGACCAGUUCGUGGAAGCCACGGGGAGCUCAUUUCCUUUCAGCAGGAGGAAUUUGUAGUGGGCAGCACCUUCUGAAGAUGCCAUUGGCAGCCUUGGGAGCCUCGAUCUCCCCGUCACUGGAGGUGUGUGCAUGGGAGCCGGCCAGAGGGCUCUAGGGAGGCUGGGGUGAGGGGUGGUGUGUGCAAUCUCUGGGGCUCUUCCGGCCGUGGGAUGGGGAGUCGAACUGAGUCUGCUUGUGGAUCCGCUUUCACCUCCCCCUGGCUAAGCUGAAUGUCAGAUCUGAGCAUUUUAGCAACCUGGGCAUCUGGGAUGUCCUUUGUGACCUCAUAAACUCAGCGCCCAGCACCCUGCCAGCCCCAGUGUGAAUGAAUGAAUUCCUUAGGGUUUUAUUAAGUGUGUGGGCACAAUCUACUAACCAUUUAUGUGUUCUUUUAUUAUGAUAAUAAAAGUCUACUUUUUAAAGCAU